GCAAGCGUAGCUCUCUCGACAUAAUGUUUGAAUUGUUUCUCAGCAUCAGGCACAUCCAGAGCCAGGUCAUCCAGAGAUUCUGCCACCCUCCCGAAACCCUUCAUCAUCUGACAUGUGGUUAUGAGGCCUGAACUAAAGCAUUGAUCAAGUAAGCCCCACAACCUUUCAUUCUUUUUCUCAAUUAUCGCCACUAAUGCUUUCUUGACAACCUCAUGGUGGAAAAAUGGCAUGCUUAAUUCCUUUAUGCAGCGACAAGCCUCCCCAAUAUCUCCUCCAGAUUCAAACUCCUCCAGCAGCCUUCCAACUUUGUCCUUGACAUCUUCAAUGUCCCAUCCAGGACUGCCAGUUCUCCCACCACCCCAGCACCUUAAGAUCCGCUCCCCAGAAAGUCGUGCC
rnacentral:lncRNA from 1 species